CAUGACUGCACAUUAGAAUCACUCGAAAGCUUUAGCAAAUAGUGAUGCCCGGAGCCACUCCUAGGUAUUACAUUUAAUCAGUCUGGGCAUCAACACUGAAAAAUCUCCCAGGUGAAUCUAAUGUGCAAUCAGGGCUGAGAACCACUGAUUAAGCCCAUAUGGUGGUGCUCAGCAAGUGGCAGAAGACUGAGGAGCUUGGCUCACCUUCAGUCCUGGGCUCAGAGAGAAGCAGAGUCCUGACCUCCUUGCCCCAACUGGCCACUCCGGGGCUGGGAUAAGAUGAGCCCUUGGAAGUAGCUCCUAUUCAGGGAGUUUUCUGGUUAGAACUGAUCCCAUCUCUAGAGGCCAAGUCAAAGAUAAAGGAUUUGAGGAAAGACAGAAACUGUCAGCCAUUUUUUUUUGCUUAAUACGGAUCCAUCCUCAAGCAAACAAGUUUGGAAGCAGGGCCUGUGGUCUAGAGGCUGGCUCUGCGUCCCUUCUUGCUGGGUCUGAAUAAAGAGGGGAAGGAGCCUCUGAAGUCGCUUCCAGAAUGCCAUCGUUCUCUUCAGCAGAUGGUGGAGGAGAGAGGCUAAUUGAGAACUCCUGUAGCAUAUAAAACAAAAACCAGCCAAAGGAACCCGCAAGGAGACUGGCUCCUAAAAUUUCAGCAGCCUUAAGGUACUUGAUUUGGUCAUUUGCUCAUUCAUGCAUCCAUCUAUCCGUUCAUUAUAUCCAUAAACAUAUAUCGAGUGCUUACACGUCGUGAACAAGAGAAAAUCAGUUCCUGCCCUUAUGGAGCUUAACAAAGCAAUGAAAGGAGCAGACAAGACAUCAAAAUUGGAGACGCAGCGUUAUGCAGAGUAUCCAAACAGGAUGAAACAAUAGUGACUGUGCGGCUUCUUGGUUUGCGGAAGGUUGGUCAGAAAAGGCCUCUUCAAGGACAUGACAUUUAAGCUGAGAUCGGCAAGUCAAGAAGGAGUCAGUUAGGAUAAGAUCAUGGGGACAGCAUGCUCCAGACAGAGGGAACUGCCAGUGCAAAGGAUCAGAGGUCAGCACGCAUUAAGGGAACUUUGUCAUCUUCCUAGAUUCUGCAAGUGAGUGGCUACUUGCCAGAGGGAGAGAAAUGCAGAGAGGCCGAAUUAAAAUGACAACUGGACAACAGAAACUCAUGAUUGUUGUGAAGAUCAAGUGAGACAAGGUAAGUGGUGUGUUCAGCCAACUGUAAAGCACCAUACAAGCUCUUAUUCGUAAACUGGAUCUGAGGACUAGAGGGGAAACAGGGAGAAACUCAGCUUGUGUUCAGAGGAGGCUUAGGCAGAGGCUGGAGGAGAGAGCGCGGCACAUUGGCAGUAAGGAGGUCAAGCAGGAGAGGCGUGAGAUGUGAAAGAAAACCAGGUGAGAUCUUAAAACCAGACAGAGGAAGAGUGGGACAUUGCUCUUCUGGUGCUAAGGGAUAAAGCCAAUAGACCCAGCCCUUGGUUAUCUGUGACCAUGGCUCAGAGCGCCCAACGCUAAUAGAACGUCAUCAUCGAUGACGACAACAAAAACGUUCUUUUAGCCAAAGACAUUGUCUCCUUCCUCUCAGAGAACUUUCUUUCUUCAAGAUGCUUUCAAGCAUUUCCCCACAUUGUUGGCUCUUUUCAGACACCUCUGCAGAGGGGUCCUAAUUUGCAUCACCAUGUGGGAAUCUUUAUCUUGAGCUACAUGGCUCCUCUGAGCUGUAAUAUGCCUGCAGAAAUGCGCUUAGAGUUGAUCUGAAAGUGGUACAAAGACUGACAGCUCCUUUCCUCCAGACUUUGGCCGCCCUUCCCCGAAAUCCUGGCAUCUGCUAAAGGCCCAGUUGUUUUCCAUGGGGGCAAAUAUGCCUGUCUCUCUCUUCAAGCUGACUUAUUGUACAUUCCUUUCAUCUGCUCAGAAUCUGAUUUAAAUAUGAAUCCAUGGAACGCAAACACCCAGCACUCAGAAGAAUUGUAACUUUGUUAUAUUUUGCCCAAUCACAACAAUUGUCUUAUCAUUCUUUGCCUGGUGAUGUUCUGUCAAAAGGGACCAAAUGAUGAUGUUUGGAAAGAUAGCAACACAAAUCACGUGAAAGUGAUUUAUUUUUAAUCCACCACACUGCGCUGUCCCCAAGUUAUUUGUGAAUAUGUAUCAAGCUCAAACUUUAAAAUUUUGACAAUUAAUUGGUUUCUUGCAGUUCCAUUAUUUCUCCCUAUCCUCUGAGUUUGAUGUGUGUGGAAAGUUUCCCAAAUACGUAUCUGGUAAAUUACUCCCAGACUCAAAGAUAGCUGCAGUAAAAUUUAAAAAAAUAAAGCUUCAGUCAUUCCUUUAUUUAAUGAAUAUGCAUUGAAUGUCUUCACUGUGUUGGGUGCUGGAUGAGGUUCUGGGGACACAGUAAUGAGCAAGAACAGAGAAUCUGUCUUCACAAACUUACUGGCUAGCGGAGCAGAAGUCAAUGAAGGAACAAAUAAAGACAUUUUACACAUUGUGGUAAAUGCUUGGAGUGACACAAAUGGGGGUGUUGUGAAAGAAAAUUGGAGAAGGGAGGGAGUACUCCCUGACUACCUAACCCAAAGACCUCACUUUGCAGAUGAGAAAAGUCCGGGCUGGGUCAUUUCCCCCAAUCCUAUACAGGUGGUUCCGGGCCAUCCUCAGCUAAAGGGGAUGCUGCUUCUUGGAUGAUAUACUAUUAGAUCUACUGGUGAAAUACACCAUCCUCCUGUGGUAGUCCAAGUCGCCAGUCCCCCUUAAGAUGUGGCACCCAGGACCUGAUUCAUUAUCCAAGUCCUUCAAAGAGUAUCCCCACUGGCUUGGUACUCUCGUCUGUAAGUCCUGUAAGUACACUUCAACAUGGCAAGUGGCCGACUUCAGCCAGGACAUGUGCUUCGGUCUCAUUCAAGGCAGCGAUGAGGUUUCUUCUACUUCCUCAUUUAUCUCAGAUUUCUGAACCUUAAAAAAC
ensembl:lncRNA